GUGUCAGCAGCCGCGGUAAGACGAAGGACCCAAGCGUUAUCCGGAUUCAUUGGGUUUAAAGGGUGCGUAGGCGGGUUGAUAAGUCAGUGGUGAAAGCCCAACGCUUAACGUUGGAACUGCCAUUGAUACUGUCGAUCUUGAAUGUGUUUGAUGUGGGCGGAAUAUGACAUGUAGCGGUGAAAUGCUUAGAUAUGUCAUAGAACACCGAUUGCGAAGGCAGCUCACAAAGCCACUAUUGACGCUGAGGCACGAAAGCGUGGGGAUCAAACAGGAUUAGAAACCCUCGUAGUCC
rnacentral:rRNA from 1 species